rnacentral:misc_RNA from 1 species
AUGCAGGUUGAAGCAAAUUCUGAGAGAAGAGUGAAAAUAUUGGGGAUUGAUAGGAGCGAAAACAGUCCAGUCUUAACUUACAUGGAAACAGAAGAUGACCCUAAUUUUCGGAAUUCAAAAUUGGCUGCAGCCCCUCACACAGUGCACAUGAUGGAUUCGGGAUUCUUGGCAAUCAACAGACAAUGCCUUGUCAAAGGGAAAGCUAUUCUUGCACGAGAGCCAAAAAGUUCCAACGAACACAUGAUUGAUGAUUUACCGAAGCAUGCACAUGAUCAGCACACUCUUUCCAUUCUGCGAGAUUUCAUCGAUCAACUGAAACUUCACAACGUCUACGAGAUCAACUUCUACGAUCCGGCGAUCAAGAAGUAUUAAAGUCGAUUAUGAACUCUGUAAUCGCCAAGUUCGAGCUGCAAAUUCCAUGCAAAAAUGCAGUGAUUGAUGCUACUCUUUCUGGAAGUCGAGAAGAAGUGCACAUUAUUGCAGAAGACGGAAGUUUAGAAAACUCAAACGGGACAACGGAGCAUUUCAACAAAAAACACGACCUCGUAUUUGUGAAAACGGAUUUGCACCCAGAAGAUUUCACACCACAAAUGUUUCCCUCUCAAGCUAAAGCUAAGCUUCUUCGAGAUGCGUUCAACAAUGAGGAAGACGAGGAUACGUUUCCCGAUAUUCUAGUUCCAGCAUAUAUGACGGCUCAUUCCAAGAACCGUGUGCGACAAGAAGAUUAUACUUGUCUUGAAGUAGAGUUUGAUAGCCAAGUUGCUCUUGAAAAACUAAUGAACGAACAUGAGCAAGUAGAAGGUUUCGAAGUUCAACAAGGAGGAAUCUUAGUGGCGUUGAAGAAAGACUCAUUUUUCGACGACGAGCUGAUUGAAAAAAUUGCUGUGAGUUAUCAUAUUAUUUGUUAUUUUCACAUUAAUUGUAUGUUUGAUAAAACAUUAUUCACCAAAAUCUUCUGUAGUCACAUUGUGUUUACCUCUAGAUAAACCAAUUGCAUCUACAAAAUUGCAUGUAGCACAUUUGAUCGUUAUGCUUGCACGCAAACGUUUUUCAUUAAAACUCUGAUCACUUGCUGUAUAUUCGAUUAUUUAUUUUCAUUAACUAAAAUCAAAACGCAUGAGUUCAUUUGAUCGUUAUGAUGCACGGAAAUUAAAACGUAUCUUUAAAAAGUAUUUUAAUCAAUUUAGAGAUUUCUCAACUAGGCAAAUUAAAUGUAAUUUUAUGUUCACCAAUAGAUCUCCAGCAACCUCACAACAAACUCACCACAAUUUUUCAAUUUCACUAAAAAUAUAAAAUCCAAAAUGCAUAUUUGAUCGAAUGCCUGCACGUUUGACGUAUAUAAAUUUUCAGAUAGCUAUUGCUACUGAAUCAAGGCAAUCAGUGUCUUCAGUGUCAUUUGACCUUCUCAAAUUAGGCCCAGGAGCUUCGCUUGUCACACUUGCCAAUUCUCGGCGGUUUGAGCCAGAGUGCCGUGUUGUGCUUCAAAUUGAAGUUAAACCCGUUAGCCCCGGUGAAACCUCGUCCGAAGGCAUAUCAGAUGAGCAUCAUUAUGAAGAAUAUGAUGAAGAUGACAUUAUGGAAGAAGAAGAAGCUCCAAGUGCUCGACAAGAUGACACGUAUGAUGAGGAUGAAGAGUGA